GGGCGUAUAGCUCAGUUGGUUAGAGCGCACGGUUCACAUCCGUGAGGUCAGAGGUUCGAGUCCUCUUACGCCCA
rnacentral:tRNA from 1 species